rnacentral:rRNA from 1 species
AUACGGAGGGUGCGAGCGUUAAUCGGAAUUACUGGGCGUAAAGCGUGCGUAGGCGGAUUAUUAAGCAAGAUGUGAAAGCCCAGGGCUCAACCUUGGAACUGCAUUUUGAACUGGUAGUCUAGGGUACUGUAGAGGGUGGUGGAAUUUCCAGUGUAGCGGUGAAAUGCGUAGAGAUUGGAAGGAACAUCAGUGGCGAAGGCGGCCACCUGGACAGAUACUGACGCUGAGGCACGAAAGCGUGGGGAGCGAACAGGAUUAGAAACCCUAGUAGUCC